rnacentral:lncRNA from 1 species
UAAAUCAGCCUAAUGUACCUUUGGCAACCGAAAGAAGAAAUUGAUGUCAAAGGCCUUGGAUAUUCAUUCAACUCAAUAAUUUGUUGCAGGAGAUACAUAUAUGUCGAGUGUGACAAACGCAGAUAUAUAUAUUCUGGGUAAGAUUUUUUGUGUAAGAAGAAGAUAUUCAGUAAAUACCAAGGAAGACAAAUGAGAGGAUAAGAGAUGAACACCACAAAUGCAAUGAUUAGGGUUUGUAUUAAAUAUUUCUGAUUUCCACGAUGAUAACAACUGCUCUAAGGAAUGUUGUCUAGAAAUCAGGUUUAGGAAUCAAGAAACCACUUCACCACAUUCUCUUAUCAAGAAACUAACAAUUCCCAUAUGAAUU